UUGACCUGGCUCACAACGAACGUUGACGGCGUGCUUAACACAUGCAAGUCGGAUGCGAACGGUGCUUUCGGGCGUUGAGUAGCAUGGCAGACGGGUGAGGAGCGCGUAUCUGACUGGACUCAGGCUGGGGGAUAGUCCCUCGAAAGGGGGUUGAAUACCGCAUGUGCUCGGUGCUGUGAGGGCAUCGAGGAAAGUUGGCCUCUGCGGGCACGCUGAUGGCCUGAGACAGGGAUGCGUCCUAUUAGCUAGCUGGUGGGGUAAGGGCCUACCAGGGCGACGAUGGGUAGCUGGUCUGAGAGGAUGAUCAGCCACACUGGGACUGCGACACGGCCCAGACUCCUACGGGAGGCAGCAGUGGGGAAUUUUGCGCAAUGGGCGCAAGCCUGACGCAGCAACGCCGCGUGCAUGACGACGCCUUUCGAGGUGUAAAGUGCUGUCGACCGGGACGAAGGGGCGAGGGUGAACAGCUUUCGCGCAUGACGGUACCGGUGGAGGAAGCCCCGGCUAACUCCGUGCCAGCAGCCGCGGUAGGACGGAGGGGGCGAGCGCUGUUCGGAAUUACUGGGCGUAAAGCGCGCGUAGGCGGUGCAGCAAGUGGUGCGUGAAAGCCCUCGGCUUAACCGGGGACGGGCGUGCCAAACUGUUGGACUGGAGUGCCGGAGGGGGAGGCGGAAUUCCUGGUGGAGCGGUGAAAUGCGUAGAGAUCAGGAAGAACGUCGGUGGCGAAGGCGGCCUCCUGGACGGACACUGACGCUGAGGUGCGACAGCGUGGGGAGCGAACGGGAUUAGAUACCCCGGUAGUCCACGCCGUAAACGAUGGGUACGAGGUGUGGGGCUUGUGAUGAGGCCCGUGCCGGAGCUAACGCAGUAAGUACCCCGNCUGGGGAGUACGGUCGCAAGGCUGAAACUCAAA
rnacentral:rRNA from 1 species